GAAUACAGGGAGGGUGAGAGGAACGAAGGGGAAGCAGUUAGAGGAGAUCCACUCACGGGAUUCUGCGUUGUUGAUUUGUGUGUGGAAGUAUCGUGGGUUUUGCCUGCCUCCAUUGUUGCUCGUCUGCUGAAAUAAGUUGGAAUCUUUGCCACGGUGCCUGUCUCUCUGUGCUCAGGUUUAUUGGAGCUCUCAGUGGUACUGUGUUGAGCUGCUCCAGUACGUUCAGCUGCUGCAGAAGUACUGGGGAAACGUCCUUUCUCACCAAGAAGCAGACACAUUCUGUAGAACACUGCCAUCAGAGUGUCCUCUGUCUGGAUGCCUGCGUCUUUAUCCUCCUGCACCAACCCGGGGAUUCCUUUCACAGAAUGAAUAUCAUGUCCGAAUACUCACUGUUACUGAAUGUGAAAGGCACCUUCACCGUAGCGAAGAGUUGCACUUUGGCAGCCACCUGAUGGGGCGCCCUGUCACUUACAUGUCAAAGCGUAAACAGUUGGCGGGAUGGAAGUUGCUGUGUGUUGCCAUGUAUGAUUAAAAGAAAUAGCACU